ACGAGAAUAUUCGACAAUGGGCGAAAGCCUGAUCGAGCGACGCCGCGUGCAGGAUGAAGAGCUUCGGUUUGUAAACUGCUUUUAUGGGGGAAAAAGUUUAUUGAUGGUACCCCACGAAUAAGGAGUUGCUAAACUCGUGCCAGCAGCAGCGGUAAUACGAGUGCUCCAAGCGUUAUCCGGAAUCAUUGGGCGUAAAGGGUGUGUAGGUGGUCGUGUUAGUCUUUUGUUAAAUUCUUCGGCUCAACCGGGGGCAUGCAAGGGAAACGGCACGACUUGAGGAUGCGAGAGGCCAAGGGAACUCAUGGAGUAGGGGUGAAAUCCGUUGAUAUCAUGGGGAACACCGAAAGCGAAGGCACUUGGCUGGCGCAUUCCUGACACUGAGACACGAAAGCGUAGGUAG
rnacentral:rRNA from 1 species